AAUGAACGUUGGCGGCAUGGAUUAGGCAUGCAAGUCGAGCGAGAAGAGUUUUGAAGCUUGCUUUAGAACUCGGACAGCGGCGAAAGGGAGAGUAACGCGUAGUUAUGUACCCUAGGGUCCGGAAUAGCCACGGGAAACUGUGGGUAAUGCCGGAUAACAUCCCCGGAUCAAAGGUGUGAUUCCGCCCUAGGAGCAGACUGCGUCCUACUAGCUAGUUGGUGGGGUAAUGGCCCACCAAGGCAAUGAUGGGUAGCGGGUGUGAGAGCAUGACCCGUCUCACUGGGACUGAGACACUGCCCAGACACCUACGGGUGGCUGCAGUCGAGAAUCUUCGGCAAUGGGCGAAAGCCUGACCGAGCGAUGCCGCGUGCGGGAUGAAGGCCCUCGGGUUGUAAACCGCUGUCGUAGGGGAGGAAGGUUCCGUGAAGAGCGGAAUUUGACCUAUCCUAGGAGGAAGUACGGGCUAAGUUCGUGCCAGCAGCCGCAGUAACAC
rnacentral:rRNA from 1 species